rnacentral:rRNA from 1 species
GACGAACGCUGGCGGCGUGCUUAACACAUGCAAGUCGAACGGAAAGGCCCUGCUUUUGUGGGGUGCUCGAGUGGCGAACGGGUGAGUAACACGUGAGUAACCUGCCCUUGACUUUGGGAUAACUUCAGGAAACUGGGGCUAAUACCGGAUAGGAGCUCCUGCUGCAUGGUGGGGGUUGGAAAGUUUCGGCGGGUGGGGAUGGACUCGCGGCUUAUCAGCUUGUUGGUGGGGUAGUGGCUUACCAAGGCUUUGACGGGUAGGCGGCCUGAGAGGGUGACCGGCCACAUUGGGACUGAGAUACGGCCCAGACUCCUACGGGAGGCAGCAGUGGGGAAUAUUGCACAAUGGGCGGAAGCCUGAUGCAGCAACGCCGCGUGCGGGAUGACGGCCUUCGGGUUGUAAACCGCUUUCGCCUGUGACGAAGCGUGAGUGACGGUAAUGGGUAAAGAAGCACCGGCUAACUACGUG